rnacentral:rRNA from 1 species
CCUACGGGUGGCAGCAGUGGGGAAUAUUGGGCAAUGGGCGCAAGCCUGAUCCAGCAACGCCGCGUGAAGGAAGAAGGCUUUCGGGUUGUAAACUUCUUUUCUCAGGGACGAAGCAAGUGACGUUACCUGAGGAAUAAGCCACGGCUAACUAGGUGCCAGCGGCCGCGGUAUUAGGUAGGGGGCAAGCGUUAUCCGGAUUUACUGGGGGUAAAGGGCGUGUAGGGGGGAAAGUAAGUCAGAUGUGAAAACCAUGGGCUCAACCUGUGGCCUGCAUUUGAAAUUGUUUUUCUUGAGUCCUGGAGAGGCAGACGGAAUUCCUAGUGUAGCGGUGAAAGGCGUAGAUAUUAGGAGGAACACCAGUGGCGAAGGCGGUCUGCUGGACAGCAACUGACGCUGAGGCGCGAAAGCGUGGGGAGCAAACAGGAUUAGAUACCCCGGUAGUC